rnacentral:rRNA from 1 species
UGCAAGUCGAGGGGUAACAGGGAGAAGCUUGCUUUUCUGCUGACGACCGGCGCACGGGUGCGUAACGCGUAUGCAACCUACCUUCUACAGGGGGAUAGCCCAGAGAAAUUUGGAAUAAUACCCCAUACGAUCAAUGAUUGGCAUCGAUUAUUGAAGAAAACUCCGGUGGUAGAAGAUGGGCAUGCGUCCUAUUAGUUAGUUGGUGAGGUAACGGCUCACCAAGACKUCGAUAGGUAGGGGCCCUGAGAGGGGGAUCCCCCACACUGGUACUGAGACACGGACCAGACUCCUACGGGAGGCAGCAGUGAGGAAUAUUGGACAAUGGGGGCAACCCUGAUCCAGCCAUGCCGCGUGCAGGAAGACUGCCCUAUGGGUUGUAAACUGCUUUUAUACAGGAAGAAACCUACUUACGUGUAAGUAGCUGACGGUACUGUAAGAAUAAGGAUCGGCUAACUCCGUGCCAGCAGCCGCGGUAAUACGGAGGAUCCAAGCGUUAUCCGGAAUCAUUGGGUUUAAAGGGUCCGUAGGUGGUUAAUUAAGUCAGAGGUGAAAGCCAGCAGCUCAACUGUUGAACUGCCUUUGAUACUGAUUAACUUGAGUUAUUGUGAAGUAGUUAGAAUAUGUAGUGUAGCGGUGAAAUGCAUAGAUAUUACAUAGAAUACCGAUUGCGAAGGCAGAUUACUAACAAUACACUGACACUGAGGGACGAAAGCGUGGGUAGCGAACAGGAUUAGAUACCCUGGUAGUCCACGCCGUAAACGAUGGUCACUAGCUGUUUGACYAACAUUGGUUGGUUGAGUGGCUAAGCGAAAGUGAUAAGUGACCCACCUGGGG